UAUGUGGUGGCGCAGUGGUUAAGUGUGCUUGACUUGUGAUCAAAAGGUCUUCAGUUCGAGUCCGUGCUAUGGCU